ACGAACGCUGGCGGCAUGCCUAACCCAUGCAAGUCGAACGAGAUCCUUCGGGGUCUAGUGGCGCACGGGUGCGUAACGCGUGGGAAUCUGCCCUUAGGUUCGGAAUAACAGUUAGAAAUGACUGCUAAUACCGGAUGAUGACGUUAAGUCCAAAGAUUUAUCGCCUGAGGAUGAGCCCGCGUAGGAUUAGCUAGUUGGUGUGGUAAAGGCGCACCAAGGCGACGAUCCUUAGCUGGUCUGAGAGGAUGAUCAGCCACACUGGGACUGAGACACGGCCCAGACUCCUACGGGAGGCAGCAGUGGGGAAUAUUGGACAAUGGGCGCAAGCCUGAUCCAGCAAUGCCGCGUGAGUGAUGAAGGCCUUAGGGUUGUAAAGCUCUUUUACCCGGGAUGAUAAUGACAGUACCGGGAGAAUAAGCCCCGGCUAACUCCGUG
rnacentral:rRNA from 1 species